UCUGGUAUGAAAGGUUUGACGAGGAAACGAACUGUCUCAAUUUAAUUGUUUAGAAAUUUAUUUUUUAGUUAAAAAGCUGAAAUGAUUUUAAAAGACGAGAAGACCCUAUAGAGUUUUACAAUUUUGAUAAUUUAAUAUUUUAAGGUAUAAAUAAAUUUAAUUUAUGAAGAUUGUUUUGUUGGGGUGAUGGAAAAAUUAAAUUAACUUUUUUUAUUUUAAACAAUGAUAUUUGAAUUAAUGAUCCGCUUAGGCGAUUAAAAGAUUAAAUUACCUUAGGGAUAACAGCGA
rnacentral:rRNA from 1 species